UAGGGAAUCUUCCACAAUGGACGCAGUCUGAUGGAGCAACGCCGCGUGAGUGAAGAAGAUCUUCGGAUCGUAAAACUCUGUUGUUAGAGAAGAACACGAGUGAGAGUAACUGUUCAUUCGAUGACGGUAUCUAACCAGCAAGUCACGGCUAACUACGUGCCAG
rnacentral:rRNA from 1 species